rnacentral:rRNA from 1 species
AACGAACGCUGGCGGCAGGCCUAACACAUGCAAGUCGAACGCCGUAGCAAUACGGAGUGGCAGACGGGUGAGUAACACGUGGGAACGUACCCUUCGGUUCGGAAUAACUCAGGGAAACUUGAGCUAAUACCGGAUACGUCCGAGAGGAGAAAGAUUUAUCACCGAGGGAUCGGCCCGCGUCUGAUUAGCUUGUUGGUGAGGUAACGGCUCACCAAGGCGACGAUCAGUAGCUGGUCNGAGAGGAUGAUCA